AUUGAACGCUGGCGGCAGGCCUAACACAUGCAAGUCGAACGGUAACAGGAAGCAGCUUGCUGCUUUGCUGACGAGUGGCGGACGGGUGAGUAAUGUCUGGGAAACUGCCUGAUGGAGGGGGAUAACUACUGGAAACGGUAGCUAAUACCGCAUAACGUCGCAAGACCAAAGAGGGGGACCUUCGGGCCUCUUGCCAUCGGAUGUGCCCAGAUGGGAUUAGCUAGUAGGUGGGGUAACGGCUCACCUAGGCGACGAUCCCUAGCUGGUCUGAGAGGAUGACCAGCCACCCUGGAACUGGGACACGGUCCAGACUCCUACGGGAGGCAGCAGUGGGGAAUAUUGCACAAUGGGCGCAAGCCUGAUGCAGCCAGGCCGCGUGUAUGAAGAAGGCCUUCGGGUUGUAAAGUACUUUCAGCGGGGAGGAAGGGAGUAAAGUUAAUACCUUUGCUCAUUGACGUUACCCGCAGAAGAAGCACCGGCUAACUCCGUG
rnacentral:rRNA from 1 species